GACUGCGGAGGAUCAUUAAGAGACGUUGCCCUUCGGGGUAUACCCCCCACCCAUUGUUUAUUAUACCUUUGUUGCUUUGGCAGACCCGGCUUCGGCCCACCGGCUCCGGCUGGUCAGUGUCUGCCAGAGGACCUAAAACUCUGUUUGUUAAUAUUGUCUGAGUACUAUAUAAUAGUUAAAACUUUCAACAACGGAUCUCUUGGUUCUGGCAUCGAUGAAGAACGCAGCGAAAUGCGAUAAGUAACGUGAAUUGCAGAAUUCAGUGAAUCAUCGAAUCUUUGAACGCACAUUGCGCCCUCUGGUAUUCCGGGGGGCAUGCCUGUUCGAGCGUCAUUACAACCCUCAAGCUUUGCUUGGUAUUGGACAUUGCCAGUUUCUGGCAGGUCUUAAAAUCAGUGGCGGUGCCAUUUGGCUUCAAGCGUAGUAAUUCUUCUCGCUUUGGAGAUCCAGGUGGUUACUUGCCAAUAACCCCCAAUUUUUUCAGGUUGACCUCGGAUCAGGUAGGGAUACCCGCUGAACUUAAGCAUAUCAAUAAGCGGAGGA
rnacentral:rRNA from 1 species